rnacentral:rRNA from 1 species
UAACACGUAUCCAACCUGCCGUCUACUCUUGGACAGCCUUCUGAAAGGAAGAUUAAUACAAGAUGGCAUCAUGAGUCCGCAUGUUCACAUGAUUAAAGGUAUUCCGGUAGACGAUGGGGAUGCGUUCCAUUAGAUAGUAGGCGGGGUAACGGCCCACCUAGUCUUCGAUGGAUAGGGGUUCUGAGAGGAUGGUCCCCCACAUUGGAACUGAGACACGAUCCAAACUCCUACGGGAGGCAGCAGUGAGGAAUAUUGGUCAAUGGGCGAGAGCCUGAACCAGCCAAGUAGCGUGAAGGAUGACUGCCCUAUGGGUUGUAAACUUCUUUUAUAAAGGAAUAAAGUUGGGUAUGGAUACCCGUUUGCAUGUACUUUAUGAAUAAGGAUCGGCUAACUCCGUGCCAGCAGCCGCGGUAAUACGGAGGAUCCGAGCGUUAUCCGGAUUUAUUGGGUUUAAAGGGAGCGUAGAUGGAUGUUUAAGUCAGUUGUGAAAGUUUGCGGCUCAACCGUAAAAUUGCAGUUGAUACUGGAUAUCUUGAGUGCAGUUGAGGCAGGCGGAAUUCGUGGUGUAGCGGUGAAAUGCUUAGAUAUCACGAAGAACUCCGAUUGCGAAGGCAGCCUGCUAAGCUGCAACUGACAUUGAGGCUCGAAAGUGUGGGUAUCAAACAGGAUUAGAUACCCUGGUAGUCCACACGGUAAACGAUGAAUACUCGCUGU